rnacentral:rRNA from 1 species
CUCUUCCCAUUCCGAACAGAGAAGUUAAGCCCGCCAGAGCCGAUGGUAUUGCCGUAACAGGUGGGAGAGUAGGUCGGCGCCUAUU